UACGUAGGGUGCGAGCGUUAAUCGGAAUUACUGGGCGUAAAGCGUGCGCAGGCGGUUUUGUAAGCCAGAUGUGAAAUCCCCGGGCUUAACCUGGGAACUGCAUUUGGGACUGCAAGGCUUGAGUACGGCAGAGGGGGUAGAAUUCCUGGUGUAGCAGUGAAAUGCGUAGAUAUCAGGAGGAAUACCGAUGGCGAAGGCAGCCCCCUGGGUCGAUACUGACGCUCAUGCACGAAAGCGUGGGAGCAAACAGG
rnacentral:rRNA from 1 species